UCGGUUGAUCCUGCCGGACCUUACUGCUAUCGGGGUGGACUAAGACAUGCGAGUCGAGCGUCUCUAGCUAUGUUGAGACGCGGCAUACGGCUCAGUAACACGUGGCUAACCUACCCUCAGGACGGGAACAAACCCGGGAAACUGGGGCUAAUAUCCGAUAGGUGAGGAUGCCUGGAAUGGUUUCUCACUCAAAGGGCUUUAGAAACAUGCUUCUAAAGUCGCCUGGGGAUGGGGCCGCGACCGAUCAGGUUGUUGGUGAGGUAAUGGCUCACCAAGCCUAUAACCGGUACGGGCCGUGAGAGCGGUAGCCCGGAGAUGGGUACUGAGACAAGGACCCAGGCCCUACGGGGCGCAGCAGUCGCGAAAACUCCGCAAUGCACGAAAGUGUGACGGGGCUACCCCGAGUGCCAUCCGCUGAGGAUGGCUUUUCCUUGGUAUAACUAGCUAGGGGAAUAAGGAGAGGGCAAGACUGGUGUCAGCCGCCGCGGUAAUACCAGCUCUCCGAGUGGUAGGGAUGAUUAUUGGGCUUAAAGCGUCCGUAGCCGGCUUAGCAAGUCUCCUGUUAAAUUCANCGACCUAAUCGUUGAGCCGCGGGAGAUACUACUAGGCUAGGAGGCGGGAGAGGUCGACGGUACUUCUGGGGUANGGGUGAAAUCCUAUAAUCCCGGGAGGACCACCAGUGGCGAGGGCUGUCGACUAGAACGCGCUCGACGGUNAGGNACGAANCUGGGGGAGCNAACCGGANUANAUACCCGGGUAGUCCCAGCCGUAAACGAUGCGGGCU
rnacentral:rRNA from 1 species